GAGCGAACAGACGAGGAGCUUGCUCCUUUGACGUUAGCGGCGGACGGGUGAGUAACACGUGGGUAACCUACCUAUAAGACUGGGAUAACUUCGGGAAACCGGAGCUAAUACCGGAUAAUAUUUCGAACCGCAGGUUCGAUAGUGAAAGAUGGCUUUGCUAUCACUUAUAGAUGGACCUGCGCCGUAUUAGCUAGUUGGUAAGGUAACGGCUUACCAAGGCAACGAUACGUAGCCGACCUGAGAGGGUGAUCGGCCACACUGGAACUGAGACACGGUCCAGACUCCUACGGGAGGCAGCAGUAGGGAAUCUUCCGCAAUGGGCGAAAGCCUGACGGAGCAACGCCGCGUGAGUGAUGAAGGUCUUCGGAUCGUAAAACUCUGUUAUUAGGGAAGAACAAACGUGUAAGUAACUGUGCACGUCUUGACGGUACCUAAUCAGAAAGCCACGGCUAACUACGUGCCAGCAGCCGCGGUAAUACGUAGGUGGCAAGCGUUAUCCGGAAUUAUUGGGCGUAAAGCGCGCGUAGGCGGUUUUUUAAGUCUGAUGUGAAAGCCCACGGCUCAACCGUGGAGGGUCAUUGGAAACUGGAAAACUUGAGU
rnacentral:rRNA from 1 species